GACGAACGCUGGCGGCGUGCCUAACACAUGCAAGUCAAAGGAAAGCAACUUCGGUUGUAAGUACUUGGCCCAAGGGUGAGUAAUGUAUAGGUAAUCUGCCCCUAGGCCUGGCAUAACCUCGAGAAAUCGAGGCCAAUACCAGAUGAUGCAGCGGGACCGCAUGGUCAUGUUGUUAAAGAUUUAUCGCCUAAGGAUGAACCUAUAUCCCAUCAGGUAGUUGGCAGGAUAAUAGCCUACCAAGCCUACGACGGGUAGCUGGUCUGAGAGGAUGAUCAGCCCCAUUGGAACUGAGACACGGUCCAGACUCCUACGGGAGGCACCAGUGAGGAAUAUUGCCCAAUGGGCGAAACCCUGACGCAGCAACGCCGCGUGGAUGAUGAAGUUCUUCGGAAUGUAAAGUCCUUUUGUAGAGGAAGAACAUGUCGGUUUACCGGCACUGACGGUACUCUGCGAAUAAGCCACGGCUAACUCUGU
rnacentral:rRNA from 1 species